AAUAUUGGACAAUGGGGGCAACCCUGAUCCAGCCAUGCCGCGUGUGUGAAGAAGGUCUUCGGAUUUUAUAGCACUUUAAGUUGGGAGGAAGGGCUUUAGGUUAAUACCCUGAAGUUUUGACGUUACCAUUAGAAUAAGCACCGUCUAACUCUUUGCCAGCAGCCACGUUAAUACAGAGGGUGCAAGCGUUCAUCGGUAUUACUGGGCGUAAAGCGAGCGUAGGUGGUUCAGUAAGAUGGGUGUGAAAUCCCCGGGCUUAACCUGGGAACUGCUUUCAUAACUGCUGAGCUAGAGUACGGUAGAGGGUAGUGGAAUUUCCUGUGUAGCGGUGAAAUGCGUAGAUAAAGGAAGGAACACCAGUGGCGAAGGCGACUACCUGGACUGAUACUGACACUGAGGUGCGAAAGCGUGGGGAGCAAAC
rnacentral:rRNA from 1 species